rnacentral:rRNA from 1 species
CUUGAAUUCCUAUAAGAGGUCCAGCCUGCCCAGUGACUUUGUUCAACGGCCGCGGUAUCCUAACCGUGCGAAGGUAGCGUAAUCACUUGUCUUUUAAAUGAGGACUUGUAUGAAUGGCAUCACGAGGGUUAUACUGUCUCCUUUUUCUAAUCAGUGAAACUAAUCUUCCCGUGAAGAAGCGGGAAUAAAUAUAUAAGACGAGAAGACCCUAUGGAGCUUUAAACUUUAUAACAAAUACUAACCUUACUUCAACUUCCAGAACAUUAAUCUUAAUUUUAGUAUCCUGUUUAUUAGUUUUAGGUUGGGGUGACCGCGGAGUAAAAAUUAACCUCCAUAUUGAAUAGGACUUGUCCUUGAGCUAAGAACUACAGCCCUAAGCACCAAUAAAUUGACAUUAAUUGACCCAAUAUUUUGAUCAACGAAC